rnacentral:rRNA from 1 species
GCGGAUAUGUAAGUCAGAUGUGAAAACUACGAGCUCAACUCGUAGCCUGCAUUUGAUACUGUGUAUCUAGAAUUUGGGAGAGGCAAGGGGAAUUCUGGUGUAGCGGUGAAAUGCGUAGAUAUCAGGAGGAACACCGGUGGCGUAAGCGCCUUGCUGGCCUAAAAUUGACGCUGAGAUACGAAAGUGUGGGGAGUGAACGGGAUUAGAUACCCCGGUAAUCCACACCAUAAACGUUGUCUACCAGUCGUUAGAGGUAUCAACCCUUCUAGUGACGAACCUAACGGAUUAAGUAGACCGCCUGGGGACUAUGCUCGCAAGAGUAAAACUCAAAGGAAUUGACGGGGUCCGCACAAGCGGUGGAGCAUGUGGUUUAAUUCGAUGAUACGCGAAAAACCUUACCAGGGUUUGACAUGGAUUGGAAUACUGUAGAGAUAUAGUAGCCUUCGGG